rnacentral:rRNA from 1 species
GAUGAACGCUAGCGGCAGGCUUAAUACAUGCAAGUCGAGGGGCAGUACAGGUAGCAAUACUGGGUGGCGACCGGCAAACGGGUGCGGAACACGUACACAACUUACCUUAGAGUGGGGGCUAGCCCAGGGAAACUUGGAUUAAUACCCCAUAAAACAGGGGGCCCGCAUGGGCAUAUUGUUAAAGAUUUAUCGCUUUAAGAUGGGUGUGCGUAUGAUUAGGUAGUUGGUAGGGUAAAGGCCUACCAAGCCGACGAUCAUUAACUGGUGUGAGAGCACGACCGGUCACACGGGCACUGAGACACGGGCCCGACUCCUACGGGAGGCAGCAGUAAGGAAUAUUGGUCAAUGGACGGAAGUCUGAACCAGCCAUGCCGCGUGAAGGAUGAAGGUCCUCUGGAUUGUAAACUUCUUUUAUAGGGGGCGAAAAAGGGCCAUUCUUGGUCAACUGACGGUACCCUAUGAAUAAGCACCGGCUAACUCCGUGCCAGCAGCCGCGGUAAAAC